AGAGUUUGAUCAUGGCUCAGAUUGAACGCUGGCGGAAUGCUUUACACAUGCAAGUCGAACGGCAGCACAGGAGAGCUUGCUCUCUGGGUGGCGAGUGGCGGACGGGUGAGGAAUACAUCGGAAUCUACCUUUUCGUGGGGGAUAACGUAGGGAAACUUACGCUAAUACCGCAUACGACCUACGGGUGAAAGUGGGGGACCGCAAGGCCUCACGCGAUUAGAUGAGCCGAUGUCCGAUUAGCUAGUUGGCGGGGUAAUGGCCUACCAAGGCGACGAUCAGUAGCGGGUCUGAGAGGAUGAUCCGCCACACUGGGACUGAGACACGGCCCAGACUCCUACGGGAGGCAGCAGUGGGGAAUUUUGGACAAUGGGGGCAACCCUGAUCCAGCCAUUCCGCGUGAGUGAAGAAGGCCUUCGGGUUGUAAAGCUCUUUCAGCUGGAGUGAAACGGUGCGCUCUAACAUAGCGUGCUAAUGACGGUACCAGCAGAAGAAGCACCGGCUAACUACGUGCCAGCAGCCGCGGUAAUACGUAGGGUGCGAGCGUUAAUCGGAAUUACUGGGCGUAAAGCGUGCGCAGGCGGAUUGUUAAGCAAGAUGUGAAAUCCCCGGGCUUAACCUGGGAAUGGCAUUUUGAACUGGCAGUCUAGAGUGCGUCAGAGGGGGGUGGAAUUCCACGUGUAGCAGUGAAAAUGCGUAGAGAUGUGGAGGAACACCGAUGGCGAAGGCAGCCCCCUGGGAUGACACUGACGCUCAUGUACGAAAGCGUGGGUAGCAAACAGGAUUAGAUACCCUGGUAGUCCACGCCCUAAACGAUGUCAACUGGUUGUUGGGGGAGUGAAAUCCCUUAGUAACGAAGCUAACGCGUGAAGUUGACCGCCUGGGGAGUACGGUCGCAAGAUUAAAACUCAAAGGAAUUGACGGGGACCCGCACAAGCGGUGGAUGAUGUGGAUUAAUUCGAUGCAACGCGAAAAACCUUACCUACCCUUGACAUGUCCAGAACCCUGAAGAGAUUUGGGGGUGCCCGAAAGGGAAUUGGAACACAGGUGCUGCAUGGCUGUCGUCAGCUCGUGUCGUGAGAUGUUGGGUUAAGUCCCGCAACGAGCGCAACCCUUAUCAUUAGUUGCUACGCAAGGGCACUCUAAUGAGACUGCCGGUGACAAACCGGAGGAAGGUGGGGAUGACGUCAAGUCCUCAUGGCCCUUAUGGGUAGGGCCUCACACGUCAUACAAUGGUCGGUACAGAGGGUUGCCAAGCCGCGAGGUGGAGCCAAUCCCAGAAAGCCGAUCGUAGUCCGGAUUGUUCUCUGCAACUCGAGAGCAUGAAGUCGGAAUCGCUAGUAAUCGCGGAUCAGCAUGUCGCGGUGAAUACGUUCCCGGGUCUUGUACACACCGCCCGUCACACCAUGGGAGUGGAAUCUGCCAGAAGUAGGUAGCCUAACCGCAAGGGGGGCGCUUACCACGGUGGGUUUCAUGANCUGGGGUGAAGUCGUAANCAAGGAACCAAAGGGCGAAUUCGCGCCCAUC
rnacentral:rRNA from 1 species